CCUACGGGAGGCAGCAGUGGGGAAUAUUGCACAAUGGGGGAAACCCUGAUGCAGCGACGCCGCGUGAGUGAAGAAGUAUUUCGGUAUGUAAAGCUCUAUCAGCAGGGAAGAAAAUGACGGUACCUGAUUCAUCAGCCCCGGCUAACUACGUGCCAGCAGCCGCGGUAAUACGUAGGGGGCAAGCGUUAUCCGGAUUUACUGGGUGUAAAGGGAGCGUAGACGGCAGCACAAGUCUGGAGUGAAAUGCCGGGGCUUAACCCCGGAACUGCUUUGGAAACUGUGCAGCUAGAGUGCAGGAGAGGGAAGUAGAAUUCCUAGUGUAGCGGUGAAAUGCGUAGAGAUUAGGAGGAACACCAGUGGCGAAGGCGGCUUACUGGACUGUAACUGACGUUGAGGCGCGAAAGCGUGGGGAGCAAACAGGAUUAGAUACCCUUGUAGUC
rnacentral:rRNA from 1 species